UAUCUAUCUAUCUGCAUAUUUUUGAAACAAGGUCUAGCUGCAUAUCCCAGGAUGGCCUUAAACUCAUAAUCCUCCUGCUUGAGACUCACCAGUGUUGGGCUGAGAGAUGUUCACUGCCACACCUGUCUAUAUGCCUUUUUAACUGUGCUCGUGUUAACAAGAAGACAAUUUACUUCUGCUACUUUAUUAGAUAUGGUCCAGUGAGUUGGGACAGCUCUAUUGUGACAGAUUCAUUUAUUUGUUUGUUCUUUUUGAAGUAGAGUCUGAUGUAGCCCAGACUGGCCUCAAACUCACCAUAUUGCCAAGGAUGACUGAACUUCUAGCCCUUUUGGCACCAUCUCCUGAGUGCUGGGGUUUCAGGUGUGCACCACCACACCCAGUUUUAGGCAGAGUUGAGGAUCAAACCCAGGGCUUCAUGCAUGCCAGGCAAGCACUCUACCAACCACACUACAUUCACCAGCCCCACGUUAUGACAACAUUGUAAAUCACUUCAUUUCAAACAAGAGGAAAAAAAAAUCUCUCAGUACCACCAAGUCCUUGGAAUCUAUCUAAUAAAAAAUGUGCCUGUUGUACCCCCAUUCCUCAUCUGCUCUAACCAUACCCUCCAAAGAAGUGAGGCCACAGCUUUGGCUACAACCCAGACACAACUCUGGCCAGAUCAGUGGAGCUAUCAGCUUCCACACUGCCCCAGCUCUAAGGCAGGAGUUACCCUUGGUCACAGCAUUAGUCUUCUUGGACAGCCUGUGGGUCCUGUUUCCCAUCCACCUUCUCCUGAGGCCAUUUUGGAUGGGUGGGUCAAUUUGGCUAUUGACCAACCUAAAGCAUUCACCCUUGGUGGUCCUCAGUCAUGUGCCUUAGCCUUCACAGAGCCUUCUGCACUGGAGCUCACAGCCUCCCAGUCUUCCCCCUUCAUUCUCCUCUCUUGCUCUACAUGCAUCCCUGACCCGGGUCCUCAAUAGUCCAUCCCCAUUGAGCCUAAUGGGUUCUGGGUCAAGCCUACCUUCUCUCACCCUCUUUAGGAUUUUUCUCUGAGAGUCCUGUAUAUAAAGUAUUGUCAUAAUUAUCCCUGAUUAAUAUUUUUGCACCUAAUAAAGUCUCAGGGCCUGGGCUGGGGAGGCUCACCUUCCAGAUGGCUUCUCCAGCAAUUAAAGUGACUUGUUAGUUGGAGGCCCGGGAUGGCUGAGGACAGCUGGAGAGCUGUCCUUUUGCAAGCGGCUCUGGUUAACAUCAACCAGGAAAGCUCUCUGUAAACACAUGAAUAAUUGAUUGUGCGGCGCUCACAUAGCUACCGCGGAUCUGAGCCCGGAUGACUCACUUGUGGGCCAUCCCUGUCGUCUGGAUGCCAUAACAUUGGAGGAAUGAUGACGGUUUCUUGGAGGUUCUUCUGUGGCCGGCGUAGCCAAGACGAAGACUGUAAUGGAUCUUCUUUCCUGUGAGACGGGACCUCUGCUGUGGAUGUGUGCCUGACGUCUUGCCUCACCCUGGUUGGCUCUGAAGACGGAACUCCGGUCACGAGGCUCGCACAGUGUAUUAGUUUGCAUCUCCGUUGCCGUGAUAAAACGCUCUGGUGAAAAGCAUCUCGGGGAGGAAAGGGUUUGUUUGGCUUACAGGUUACAGUCCAUCGCCAAGGGAAGGCAGGACCUGACGCAGAAGCCUGGGAGGAAGUCUGCUAAUGGCCAGGGGGAGCAACCCCACUGCUUGCUCAGCCUUUUUUUCUUACAGAGUGCAGGGCCACCUGCCUAGGGCCGGGACUGCCCACCGUGGGCUGGGCCCUCCCACUUUAACCACCAAUUAAAAAAAUACCGGACAGACUCGUUCGGAGGAGGCAAUUCUUCAGCUGAGGCUCCCUCUUCCUAGACAACUCUAACGUGUCAGGUUGACCACACGCGAACAAGAAACGGGCACACACACACACAGCAAGGCCCUUUACCCACCGAGCCAUCUUGCUGGCCCCUCAAGUUGAGGGAGUUGGGGCGGAGGUGGUACCCUGGCUACCUGUCUGUAAGCAGCUUCAGUAUCAUCGUCGUGUUUACCCCACUGGACCUGAGUGGAGAGAAAGGGUUUAGUCCUGGUCCCUCCUGGCGACCUCACAUUGGGUAGCUGUGUGAAGUGACUGGUAAAGUGUGGUCAAGAGUGGCUGCGCCAGACCCUGCUCUCGCUCCUCCCUGCUCCUCUGGGCUCUGCUCACCUGGAAGUGCUGGGAAUUGAGCCUGGGGCCGCCAAUCUGCUACCUAAGUGCUGUCACUGAGCUGCACCCCCACCCCCAAGCCAGGCCUUUAUUAGUGAGAAGCAGGCAGUUUUAUCUCCAUGAAACAAAAUGAUAACAGCAAACAAAAUGUGAGCUCUCCGCGUCCCGCUCCAGUUGCCAUACCUGCCAUAUCUCCCACCGCCAUGAGCUCUCCUCCCUCUGGAACCAUAAGCCCAAAUAAAUUCCUCUCUCUAUAA